UAGGGAAUCUUCUUGCAAUGGACGGAAGUCUGACCGAGCAACGCCGCGUGAGUGAAGAAGGUUUUCGGAUCGUAAAGCUCUGUUGUAAGAGAAGAACGAGUGUGAGAGUGGAAAGUUCACACUGUGACGGUAUCUUACCAGAAAGGGACGGCUAACUACGUGCCAGCAGCCGCGGUAAUACGUAGGUCCCGAGCGUUGUCCGGAUUUAUUGGGCGUAAAGCGAGCGCAGGCGGUUAGAUAAGUCUGAAGUUAAAGGCUGUGGCUUAACCAUAGUACGCUUUGGAAACUGUUUAACUUGAGUGCAAGAGGGGAGAGUGGAAUUCCAUGUGUAGCGGUGAAAUGCGUAGAUAUAUGGAGGAACACCGGUGGCGAAAGCGGCUCUCUGGCUUGUAACUGACGCUGAGGCUCGAAAGCGUGGGGAGCAAACAGGAUUAGAUACCCUGGUAAUCCACGCCGUAAACGAUGAGUGCUAGGUGUUAGACCCUUUCCGGGGUUUAGUGCCGCAGCUAACGCAUUAAGCACUCCGCCUGGGGAGUACGACCGCAAGGUUG
rnacentral:rRNA from 1 species